UACAGAGGUCCCAAGCGUUGUUCGGAUUCACUGGGCGUAAAGGGUGCGCAGGUGGGCUGGCAAGUUCGAUGUGAAAGCCCCGGGCUUAACCCGGGAAUGGCAUUGGAAACUGCCGGUCUGGAGGAUCGGAGGGGGGACUGGAAUUCUUGGUGUAGCAGUGAAAUGCGUAGAUAUCGAGAGGAACACCAGAGGUGAAGACGGGUUGCUGGGCCGACACUGACGCUGACAGCGCGAAAGCCAGGGGAGCAAACGGG
rnacentral:rRNA from 1 species